UUCCUAUAACGAAUGCCACAUGCUAAGAGCAAGUUUUGUCAAGGAAGCACUGGCAUGGAGUGAAGUCAGCAGAAUUAGGAGUGGUGCCAACCAGCACUCCUCUGUAAGUGGUAACGACAGUCACGGAGAAGAUUCUGGUGUCCCAGAUCCCGUCGGGGGGGGCAGCUGGCAUCUGCCAGCGGCCAAUUUCUUGCCUCUGACUUCCCUCCGUCAGCAUCUGCCUACUGUGUGCGCGGAGCCCGGGAGCCGCGAAAAGACCAGGCAAGGUGCUGGGGAUGCGGAAGUGAAUACAUUGGGCUCCUGCCCUCAUGGGAUCACAAUCUAUCAUGGGCAGGAUAGACAAAUACGUAAAUAAAUCUAGAAAAGUCAACUGCGUGGUAACGGUAGUGUGGAAGGUGCCCAGCCCUGCUUGGAAAUGUCGAGAAAGCUCAACAGGAAGGAUGAGUAAAGGAUGCCAAAAGAGUGGAAGACUGUUCCGGAGGGAAGCCUAGAUCUUGCAAAAGAACUUUGCCGGAGAACAAUAAGGCGGAAAGGGAUGUCAGGGAGGGGAAGGCAGAGAAGGCAGGGGGCCUCUCUGGGUCUCAGUAUCCAGCUGAGAGUCCAGUGUAUCACGUGAGAGGAACUUUUCGUUCUUCUGAAUUUUGAAAAACAUGCGGGCCUUUAUCAAGCUGGUGCUUGUUACCAAGGGAUGCAUGGAAAGAUACUUCUUGUUGCUAUUUCUCACUUAGACCCUUGAUAGAGCCUGGAGACUUUAUGGAGCUGCUGUGAUUCUCACUUUCUGUGGGGUCAAGGGCUCCUUGGAGAAUGGAAAGAAAGUGAUAAAUCAUCUGCCCAGAAAAUGCACAUUGUUUCGCGUGGAUUUUCAGGGGCUUCCAGAAUCAUCCCCCCCUCCCAACCCACUCAUACGUUCUAGGCAAAGAUCUUCCCUCCUCGCCUCGAGGAGAGGAUCAGGGGACUGGCGUGACCCAUUGUAGACACUGGGUUAUGUGGUGAUCUGGCUUGAUGCUGGCACUCGCCUUGGACCUUCUUCAGAAGGCAACAUCCCAAGGUAGAUCCUCGCUGGCUGCUGCUGGCGUAGGGAGGGCAUGCAGUGUAGACAAGUGCACUCUGCCCAGUGGUCUGGGACCUGGCAAAAGCAGGGAGGCCCUGCUCACAAGCUGUGACCUGUGGAGGCCAGUGAUAGGCAAAUGUGUUUUGUCAGGUUCUUCAGCACUUACACUGAAGUGCGUCCUGGUUUGAGUACUUGCUUUUGACUUAAGUUGGUGAAUCGGGUCCAAGGAAUGGCGGUGAUGCCGAGGCCAUUCUCAGAUGGGAUGGAGCGAAGGCAGAUGUGCAAGGAGGCCAUGGGAGCUGUGCAUAGCUCAUGUGCAGACAGAACUUUGACAGGAAACAGAGUCCUUUGUCAGAGGUCCCCAGCAGCCGCAUACUAGGCUGAAGCAAGAGGAGUUUUCCUUGGGUAUAUGAUGUCAGGGGGGAGAGUGCCCAAAACCCAGUAAUUAAGAUAACUAAUAUUUUAAUGCACUUUUAAAAAGUCAAAAUUAAU